AGAGUUUGAUCCUGGCUCAGAAUGAACGUUGGCGGCGUGGAUUAGGCAUGCAAGUCGAACGUUAGCGGUAGCAAUACCGCGAAAGUGGCGAAAGGGAGAGUAAUACGUAGGUACCUGCCCUCGGGUCUGGGAUAGCUGCGGGAAACUGCAGAUAAUACCGGAUGACGUCUCUGGACCAAAGGUGUGAUUCCGCCAGAGGAUGGGCCUGCGUCCUAUCAGCUAGUUGGUGUGGUAAUGGCGCACCAAGGCUAAGACGGGUACGGGGUGUGAGAGCAUGCCCCCGCUCACUGGGACUGAGACACUGCCCAGACACCUACGGGUGGCUGCAGUCGAGAAUCUUCCGCAAUGGGCGAAAGCCUGACGGAGCGACGCCGCGUGUGGGAUGAAGGCCUUCGGGUUGUAAACCACUGUCAGUGGGGAGCAAGUGCAUCGGGGUUCUCCCCGAUGUUUGAGCGAUCCGCAGAGGAAGCACAGGCUAAUUCCGUGCCAGCAGCCGCGGUAAUACGGAAUGUGCAAACGUUAUUCGGAAUCACUGGGCUUAAAGAGUCCGUAGGCGGCUUGUUAGGUGAGGUGUGAAAUCCCCCGGCUCAACCGUGGAAUUGCGCUUCAAACCGACAAGCUAGAGGAGGAUAGAGGUGGGCGGAACUGAUGGUGGAGCGGUGAAAUGCGUUGAUAUCAUCAGGAACACCGGAGGCGAAAGCGGUCCACUGGGUCCUAUCUGACGCUGAGGGACGAAAGCUAGGGGAGCGAACGGGAUUAGAUACCCCCGUAGUCC
rnacentral:rRNA from 1 species